rnacentral:rRNA from 1 species
AUUGAACGCUGGCGGCAGGCUUAACACAUGCAAGUCGAGCGGGGGGAGGUAGCUUGCUACCGGACCUAGCGGCGGACGGGUGAGUAAUGCUUAGGAAUCUGCCUAUUAGUGGGGGACAACAUCUCGAAAGGGAUGCUAAUACCGCAUACGUCCUACGGGAGAAAGCAGGGGAUCUUCGGACCUUGCGCUAAUAGAUGAGCCUAAGUCGGAUUAGCUAGUUGGUGGGGUAAAGGCCUACCAAGGCGACGAUCUGUAGCGGGUCUGAGAGGAUGAUCCGCCACACUGGGACGGGGACACGGCCCAGACUCCUACGGGAGGCAGCAGUGGGGAAUAUUGGACAAUGGGGGGAACCCUGAUCCAGCCAUGCCGCGUGUGUGAAGAAGGCCUUAUGGUUGUAAAGCACUUUAAGCGAGGAGGAGGCUACUUUAGUUAAUACCUAGAGAUAGUGGACGUUACUCGCAGAAUAAGCACCGGCUAACUCUGUGCCAGCCGCCGCCGUAAGAC